rnacentral:rRNA from 1 species
ACGCUGGCGGCAGGCCUAACACAUGCAAGUCGAGCGGUAGAGAGAAGCUUGCUUCUCUUGAGAGCGGCGGACGGGUGAGUAAUGCCUAGGAAUCUGCCUGGUAGUGGGGGAUAACGUUCGGAAACGGACGCUAAUACCGCAUACGUCCUACGGGAGAAAGCAGGGGACCUUCGGGCCUUGCGCUAUCAGAUGAGCCUAGGUCGGAUUAGCUAGUUGGUGAGGUAAUGGCUCACCAAGGCGACGAUCCGUAACUGGUCUGAGAGGAUGAUCAGUCACACUGGAACUGAGACACGGUCCAGACUCCUACGGGAGGCAGCAGUGGGGAAUAUUGGACAAUGGGCGAAAGCCUGAUCCAGCCAUGCCGCGUGUGUGAAGAAGGUCUUCGGAUUGUAAAGCACUUUAAGUUGGGAGGAAGGGCAUUAACCUAAUACGUUAGUGUUUUGACGUUACCGACAGAAUAAGCACCGGCUAACUCUGUGCCAGCAGCCGCGGUAAUACAGAGGGUGCAAGCGUUAAUCGGAAUUACUGGGCGUAAAGCGCGCGUAGGUGGUUAGUUAAGUUGGAUGUGAAAUCCCCGGGCUCAACCUGGGAACUGCAUUCAAAACUGACUGACUAGAGUAUGGUAGAGGGUGGUGGAAUUUCCUGUGUAGCGGUGAAAUGCGUAGAUAUAGGAAGGAACACCAGUGGCGAAGGCGACCACCUGGACUGAUACUGACACUGAGGUGCGAAAGCGUGGGGAGCAAAC